UGGAGAGUUUGAUCCUGGCUCAGGAUGAACGCUGGCGGCGUGCCUAAUACAUGCAAGUCGAGCGAACUGAUUAGAAGCUUGCUUCUAUGACGUUAGCGGCGGACGGGUGAGUAACACGUGGGCAACCUGCCUGUAAGACUGGGAUAACUCCGGGAAACCGGAGCUAAUACCGGAUAACAUUUUCUCUUGCAUAAGAGAAAAUUGAAAGAUGGUUUCGGCUAUCACUUACAGAUGGGCCCGCGGUGCAUUAGCUAGUUGGUGAGGUAACGGCUCACCAAGGCAACGAUGCAUAGCCGACCUGAGAGGGUGAUCGGCCACACUGGGACUGAGACACGGCCCAGACUCCUACGGGAGGCAGCAGUAGGGAAUCUUCCGCAAUGGACGAAAGUCUGACGGAGCAACGCCGCGUGAGUGAUGAAGGCUUUCGGGUCGUAAAACUCUGUUGUUAGGGAAGAACAAGUACAAGAGUAACUGCUUGUACCUUGACGGUACCUAACCAGAAAGCCACGGCUAACUACGUGCCAGCAGCCGCGGUA
rnacentral:rRNA from 2 species